UGGCUCAGCAGUUAAUGAACUUGACUAGUAUCCAUGAGGAAGCAGGUUUGAUCCCUGGCUUUGCUCAGUGGGUGAAGAAUUCAGCAUUGCCGUGAGCUGUGGUGUGGGCGAAUUGCUGUAGCUGUGGUGUGGGCGAAUUGCUGUAGCUGUGGUAUAUAGGCUAGCAGCUGUAGCUCUGAUUCUAUCCCUAGCCUGGGAACCUCUAUAUGCUGCAGGUGUGUCCCUAAAAAACAAAACAAAAAAACCCCACAUAAUAGUGAACCUCACUUAAGACAUUUUUUUAGUGAAAAGAAGAAGAGUGAAAAAUAAACUUCUCUACAAAUGAGAUGAUAUAAAUCCUAUUUCUAAAUACAAUUUAAUUCAAGUAUACAAUAUGAGAAAAGUGAGAUUAAAGUAAUGGUUGAAAUUCAAAAUCAGGACAUUGAUGACAAAUUGAAAUUAUAAUGGAAAAACCACAGUUCAGGUGCACAGAAAUGGAGUUGGGCAGUCUUUGAGCCAUUGGGCCUCAGACUCGUCUCUGCAUCACUGAAAACUUGAACUUUCUUUGAACUGUACCAGAACCAAGGACGCUGCCUACUCAGGCGUAUUCAGAACAACAUCUGCCAGCUGCAGCCUUACUGUCUCAAGGUCUCCCCUUGUAAUUCUCCAACUAUUUCAGAUACCAACCAAUCCUCAUUUAACAAGCACCCUUACUUCUUGCCAGCUCCAAUUAUAAUUCUUGAUAAACAACCCAUGUAACUAACUGUAACCCUGCAGACUUUGCUUUUAUAAACCUCCCCCAUUUCGUCCUCAGGUUGAGCAUAAUUCAAGUGCUUCUUAAAUUUGUGUCUUCUGGGCUGUGGUCCUAACCCCAAACCAUUAUUUCAAUCUGUUUUCUUUCUAAAAUGUUAGUUAACAACAGGAGAUAAUAUUUUCUAAAAGGUUCCUCUCAUUAACAAAGAAUCUAUGAAAAAUAAAAAGAGGUUGAAGUCGUGUUUAGUUUUUAAUAAAACCUUUACAUCUUAGCUAUUAAUAAUUAAUAUACUGCUCUUGACCUAAAAAAAAAGCAAACAAGCAGCAAAAUGAGUUAAUUCAGGAAUAGCAGAGGAAUUUCAUUUUGGGACAAGCAAAGUAUGGGAAAACAUAGGCAAGUCUGGAGGAGAAAGGCUUGCUUUUAUAGAAGGAAGGAGGAAAUUGGGGAGAGCACUGGUGGUUCUUUAUUGGCUGCAGGUGGUGGUGGGGGUCAAUUUGCUGUUGCUGGGGUCUGCAAGCUGGGGCAAGUGACAUGCAUGAGAGCUUCCCAACUUCAUUUUAAUGAAGUUUCCUUUAUUUUCAUAUCACUAAGAAAGCAGGAUCUUAGCAUUUUGGCAGUUCCUCCCAAUAUUGUUAUUUAUACUAUUAUUAUUGUUUAUACAUUGUGUGAUUUUUAACAUUUAUUUUCCAGUCUGUAGCAAAAUUUCCAUGGUACGUAUCAUUUCUCCCUUUUCACAGAGUCCAUACUCACUGUCAGGUUUUUUCCACCAUAUCCGUUUCUGAAUUCUCUGUUUGAAUCUCUUAAUUGGCUGAUUUGUCUUUACAAUUUAUUCUUUUAAUGCAUCUUGGAUUGCCUCAUGUUUUUUACUUAUGAAAUUAUCUAGUUGUUACUUUUAUUCUUGAAUAAAACCUUGCCAGAAUAGAUUGCUCUUGGGUUACCUUGUAUAUUAUUCUUGGGUCACACUUUAUUUCCCUUUUUGAGGGUUGUUUUAAUUACCUACUGCUGUGUAACAAAUUAUUUGAAAUUUUAGCCACGUACAACACCUUUGUUAUAUAUAAUACACAGUUUCUGAGGAUUGGGAACCUGGGAAUGGCUUAGCUGUAUGGUUUGGGCUCAGGAUCACUUGUGAGGAUGCAUUCAAGCUGUGGCAUCUUAAGGGUCAGCUGGGUUUAGAUGUUCUUCCAAGAUGACUGUCAGGUGGUGGCUGUUGGGAAAUGCUUUUCUGGCUGGUGGCAAAAGACUUCAGUUCCUCAGAACCUUGUCCUUGGCUUAACAGCUGGCUUACCCCAGAAUGAGUCUCUGAGAGAAAGUGCAACCAGGGAAGAAGCUGAAAAGCCUCUUUUUUUUUUUUUUUUGGUCUUUCUUUAGGGCCACACAUGUGGCAUAUGGUGCGUAUUCAGUUUUCAGUGCAUUUCAGGGAUAUUUCUUGAAUUAUAUCUUUUUUUAAUUAAUGACUUUCAUUUUUUUCCGUUAUAGUUGGUUUACAGUGUUCUGUCAAUUUCUACUGUACAGCAAACUAACCCAGUCACACACAUACAUAAAUUCUUUUUCUCAACAUUAUCCUCCAUCAUGUUCCAUCAUAAGUGGAAUUUUAUCUUUGAAUCAAAAUGUUCUUGCAUUUUUGGGUUCACUUUUUCAAGAAUAUGUUAUAUUUAAUUCUCUUUAUCUUCCACAUCUAGCCCAAUUAGCUCCUCUCUAAUUGCUUCUAUCUUUGGCUGUUUCAUUCUGCUUUCAUUGUGAGGAUCUCUUUUAGUAAUGUAGCUUUUACCUGCAUUUAUCUCAUCCCUUGCCAUUUAUUAACAAUUCACUGAGGUGUGUCUUAAUAUUGUUUUGGUUCUCCUUUUUUUUUUUUUUCCUCUAGAACUGCAGUAUUUCUCUUUGCAAAAUGUCUUUCGGUUAUUUGACCAUUUUACCUGAUGUUUCUUGUUUUAUUCACUUUAUGUUUUCAUCAAGAUAUUGUACAGUAUAAAAUAAUUGUAAAACAUUUUCUUUUUUAUAAUAUGUGGCCCUAUAUAUACCCCAGUAUGAUUAGGUCAGACAAACAAAAGUAAGAGAGUAUAAAAAAUGUUAAAUAACUCAUUGCAGUGUUCAGUUCUCUCAGAUCUGAGGCACUACGCAUAAGUGAUUUUUUUUUUUUUUUCUCAGCUCUUGUGAAUGUGAAGAGGAAUGAAUAAUAAGUAACUAUGUGGCCCUACCAAUUCUGAGAUGUCAGGAAAAAUCUGGAGAGGACAAUCUGAGUGCAAGUUUAGUAAGAGGAAAUUACCAUAGUAUAUAGCAUUUUUUUCCCCUCCCUAAAAUUGUAUAAUCAAAUCAUCUAUACUUUAAUAACAAAAAAUUCAAUUAUAUAAUCACUGAUCCUUUUUAUAAUAAACUUCUAGAAUUAUUCAAGUUCAUCAGAAUUUUGCCAUAUUAAAUAUUGGUUAAAAUGAGUAAACCAUCGCAGUUCCCAUCAUGGUGCAGCGGAAAUGAAUCUGACUAGGAACCAUGAGGUUUCGGGCUCAAUCCCUGGCCUCACUCAGUGGGUUAAUGAUUCGGUGUUGCCAUGAGCUAUGGUGUAGGUCACAGACUUGGUUUGGAUCUAGCAUUGCUGUGGCUGUGAUGUAGGCUGGCAGCAACAGCUCCAUUUAGGCCCCUAGCUUGGGAACCUCCAUAUG
rnacentral:lncRNA from 1 species